rnacentral:rRNA from 1 species
CCGACACGGGGAGGUAGUGACAAGAAAUAGCGAUUCCGGGUCUUUAUAGAUCUGGUUAUUGCAAUGGACGUAUUGUAAAUGCCUACGUGAGUAUCCAUUGGAGGGCAAGUCUGGUGCCAGCAGCCGCGGUAAUUCCAGCUCCAAUAGCGUAUAUUAAAGUUGUUGCAGUUAAAAAGCUCGUAGUUGGAUUUCAGUCUUAACUCGUCUGGCCCGCUCCCUUGAGGAGCCGAGUGCCGGUUGCGAGUUGGACUUCCUUCUAGCAUGGAACCUCUACCGUUAUGCGGCCGGGGGGGUACAUCUGGAUCAUUUACUUUGAAGAAAUUAGAGUGUUCAAAGCAAGCUUACGCUGUGAAUAUAUUAGCAUGGAAUAAUAACAUAGGACUUUGUUUCUAUUUUGUUGGUUUCUAGAAACGAGUAAUGAUUGAUAGGGACAGUUGGGGGUGCUGCUAU